UGUUAUAAAACGGAGGGAGAUAUAAAUUGAAAUAUGGGUUAAACGGGUCAACCCAAACAUAGUACAAAUCAAGCUAGGUUGAGAAAUUGAAGCAGAAAACUUGAAUAAUAAUUUUAAUUUAAGAUAACAAUCAAUAAGAGACGCUUUGGCCGAGUGGUUAAGGCGUGUGCCUGCUAAGUACAUGGGGUUUCCCCGCGAGAGUUCGAAUCUCUCAGGCGUCGUUUAAAUACCUUUUUUUCAUUAUAUAUCAAUGUAUGGCGCCAAACUUAAAUUUUCUCUCUCGUAUUUCAACAUUUUUUUUUUUUUUUUUUUUUUUUUGGUUUCGCUUAAAUGAGAUACUGUCAGAUAAAUUUUUCUUGGUUUUAUCAGAAAUUUUAAAAAUCUAGCGAAAACAAAGCUAUUAUGAAGUUAUCAGCAUUGUUUAGGCCAUAUAAGUUGUCAUAUGAUGAACUUUGCUCAGUUUUGCAGAGAUGCACGAAGUCAAAAUCAUCAAAUUUAGCCAAGCAAGUUCACGGGAUGUUGAUAAUAAGUGGGAUUGAUAUGUCCAGAAUGUCAUUGGAUGCAAAGAUUUUGGGUGUAUAUGCAAGUUGUGGUAAUCUUAGGUAUGCACACCAACUGUUUGAUAAAAUGUUAAACCCUAAUGUUUUUGCUUUUAAUUGGAUGAUUUCGGUUAUGGCUUUUCAUGGAAAUUGUGAGGAGGCAAUUGGGUAUUUUUCUUUGAUGCAAAAGAUGGGAACUUUACCUAAUAAGUAUACACUUUCGUUCGUCUUGAAAGCUUGUGUUGGUUUGUUGGAUUUGAAUAAGGGAAUGGAAGUUCAUGCUGUGAUGAAUAAAAUGGGUUUUGAAUGUGAUGUGUUAGUUUGCAAUGCUUUGGUUGAUAUGUAUUGUAAAUGUGGUAAGAUGCAGUAUGCUCGAAGGGUCUUUGAUAGAAUAUUGUGUAAAGAUGUAGCGUCUUGGACGUCCAUGAUUUCUGGAUAUAGUAAUGUAGGGAAACUUGAUGAAGCAAUUGGAUUGUUUGAGCAGAUGAAGCUGGAAGGGUUGGAGCCAAAUGAUUUCACAUGGAGCGCCCUAAUAAAUGGGUAUGCUCAGAGUGGAGAUCGCGAUGGUGCUCUUGUGCUUUUCUCUCGAAUGACUAGAGAAGGGUUGUGUUGUGAUUUGAUUACAUGGAAUGCAUUAAUUUCUGGUUUUUCUCGCAGCAAUCAACCUUUUGAGGCUCUAAAAUUGUUUAGGGACAUGUUAGUAGCUGGAAUUAGACCCAAUUAUGUGACUGUAACUGGGCUGCUUCCAGCUUGUGGAUUGAUGGGAUCAGUUCAAAGAGGAAGGGAACUUCAUGGCUUGAUAUACAGACUGUCCCUUGAUGUCAAUGUCUAUGUGGCUAGUGCUCUUAUUGACAUGUACUCAAAAUCUGGAAGUUUCAAAGCUGCAAGAACUGUAUUUGAAGGAACUCGUGUCAGAAAUGUUGCCUUAUGGAAUGUUAUAAUUGGAUGCCUUGGAAAGAAUGGUGUUGUUCAUGAAUCCCUGCGAUUGUUUGAAGAAAUGCAAGAACAAGGUUUUCAGCCAAAUGAAGUGACUUUAGUUUGCGUUCUUUCAGCUUGCAGCCAUGGUGGGCUAGUUGAAAAGGCUAUGGAAAUCUUUAGGUCCAUGAAAGAUAUAUAUCAAGUUGAGGCCAACAAAGAGCACUAUGCUUGUGUUGUUGACCUUUUAUGUCGUGCUGGGGAUGUAGAAGAAGCUUAUGAAUUGAUCAAAAGGAUGCCAAUGGAAGCUACAGAAUCAAUUGUUGGGGCUUUCUUCAAUGGGUGUAGUGUACAUGGAAGAAAAGACCUAGCUGAAAAAAUGGCAGACGAUCUUUUGAAAGUAGCCUCAAAGAAACCUGGAGCUCUUGUGACAUUGUCAAACAUACAUGCGGCUGGAGAAGAGUGGCAGGAAGUCCAAAAUGUGAGGAAGUUGAUGAAGGGGAAAGGGGUUUACAAGAAGCCAGGUUUUAGCCUUGUUGACAGAGAAGAGUUUCCUUUGGAGCAAUAGUAUGGACGACACAAAGACAUUGCUACAAGCCAACAAAUGAGAGUUCAGAGAUGAAGGUUAAUUGCAAUUCUGCAUCAAAAUCUGUGCACUUUUUUUCACUAGCACCUAAUCUUCAUCUCCUUUCCAGCAGGCAUGUUGCAAAAGGUUAGUUGCAAAAUUGUGGCAAGGCUGGCUGGAAUUUGACUGUUGCUGUAAAGAUAGUACUCAUGAGCCACAACAAGAAGGGUUGCCAAAGGCUAGCUGCCUGAUGAGCUGUAAAUUGUACAAAAUUAUACUGCUUUUAAUUUGUGGUCGAUCGAUUGGUGCAAGAACAGUCAAACUGUAUCAGGGGCAAAAGAUUCAUUCAACUAUACAAGUACUUCCUUUCCCUCAAUUUUCAGGUGAUCUAAGCCCUAUCUUUCUAACACCAACAUAUUCAUGGUGGUGCUGUGGUGUGGCUCUGGUGAAACAUGGUCUGCUACUCUGCUGUUUCUAGUGUUUAAUAAUAUGUGAUGGAGCUCAGUUUUGAGUACUUCAAAAUGUAUAGCCAAGCCCAAGCAUAUUACUGUGAAGUCUGUGAUAUACUGAUUGUCUAAGUAUUGGAGUUGGAAACUUGUGACUUUGAGAUCGUAUUUAACUCACUACUAGGGUCUCUUGGAGGCUCCCUGGCUUAUCAAGGUUCUAGGAUUUGAUUGGUAUGAGGAAAAUUCCUUGAGAUAGGGCCCCUAAGGAAGGCUAAUAUCAACCAGAAGAUCAUUAAGGAAAACCCACAUGUGAAUUGUUGUCCCACAUUGAAGAACAAGGAGGAUGAUCAAUACACGAGUAUGCCAGCGGGAAACUUCUAUUGCCAAUUAGUUUUAGAACGAACUCUACAUAUAACUUAUAUGUGGUCAGUGGUCGGACAUAGACAUCAUCUUUAAUCUUAAUUCAGUACAAUAUAAAAGUGAUAUUUUUCUUCACACUUUCAUAAUUACCAACUGAUAUUUUAUAUUUCUGUGAAUAAUCUGCUAGAUACUUUGCUUGAGAUUUGCUUAUAUGU